rnacentral:lncRNA from 1 species
CAAUAAGCUCAUGGUUCUUGCCUUGUACAUUGCCCUACAGCAUUAGGCAAACACAAAUCAUUCAGGUACUUUGGAAAAAAAACUCAGUGUUCUGUCCACUAAUUUCUGAUUUCUUCCUGGGGGAAGUUAAUGGAAUGUAUAGCUCUCUUUUGUGGUGGCUAGGACACCCAAGACUAUGUAUUUCAGGUCUUGCAAAUGACAGAGAAAAAAUGUUUUCAACAACAAGUUGAAAAAUUCAAAGGUCCAGCUUCUUUGCCAGAUUAUGAUUGGACUAUUGAGAUAAAUUUAAUAUCUGAGUGAGAGAAGGGUACAUAAUACUUAACUCUGUUAACUACCUUGCUUAUGUGUUAUAAUGAUGGUUCUCUGUACCAUUAAUCUGCUCCUGGAUCUAUUUGGAUGUCAGUGGUCUUGUACCUAUGUGUCAGGCACAUCUUUAAGUAGGGUAGAGAGAAUAAGUAUAGGAAUAUUAGUUUCCUUCUGCUGCUGUAGCAAAUUAACACACCUUUAAUGACUUAAAGUAACAUAAAUUUAUUACUUUACAGUUCUGCAGGUCAUAGGUCCACAUGAGUGUUACUAGUCUAAAAUCAAGUUGUCAGUAGGGAUGUACUCUUUUGGGAAGGUUUUAGGGAAAAAUUUAUUUCAUCGCAUUUUUCAUCCUCUAGAGGCUGCCUGCAUUCCCCUGCUCAUCACCCCCUUUAUCUUCAAAGCCAAUGAGGAGAGGAGGCUCAUGUCCUUGACCAUUCAUUUGUUGUUAUGACUCUGACUAUAGCUGGUAACACUUAAUCCACUUGUAAUAAUUCAUACACUUAGAUUGGGUUCAUUUAGUUAAUCCAGGAUACUCUGUCCAUCUCAAAGUCCUUACCCUUAAUCAUAGCUGCCAAGUCUCUUCUGCUGUAUCAGAUACUAUAUCACAGGUCUGGGGAUUAGGGUUUGGACAGUUUUUUGGGGAAGGGUAGACAUUCUUCUUAACACAGAAUUGGUUAAGACAGCAAUAUACAGAACUAUUAAAUAAACUAUGCAAAUAAAUUUUGGUGCCUUUUUCAAAGUUUCAGAAGCACUGGACUUUACAAAAACUUAUGUGACCUAUUCAUUAUUUUUUUCCCCUGAAUUAUUGGGCAGUCCUAUAAUAAAUCUACAGAUCAUUAAGAUUUUCACAUUCAAUUAUCUUUAUCCUAAAUUUUUAUUAAAACAAAACAAAACAAAAACAAGACCUUCACCCCGGCCUGCCUAUUUUGCUCACUUUUAAAAGUCAGAGAAACGUUUAUUGUAAGUCGGCGGGUGUGUUAAAACCCAGGUUGCCAAGCUCCACCCUGAUGUUACUGUUCAGUAGGUCCAGGGUUAAUUUGCAUUUCUUAAAUAUUCUCAGGUGAUCUUGAAGCUGCUGGUGUGGUGCCACACUUUGAUAACCUAUGGAGAAGACUUCUAAUUUACAGACAAAAUCCAUUAUUUCAGAAAUGAAAGCCAGAUGCUCCUGUUUUGCUCCUCUGCAAUCUUCAAGUCCCCUUUACUUCUUGAGUCAGAAACACUCUUAUCCAGAUCUAAGGCCAGACCUGCAGUGAGAGUGGAAAGAAUCAUUUGUGCCUGCCAGAUUCUGAAAGGGAAAGGGAAGAGGUCUUUUCUGUAAACUGCUCUAAGACUUUUAUGAAGAACCUGUGUUACCUGUCUUAAAGGAAACUGCUUAACAUCUUUUCACAAAAUAACUUUCCUAGCAAUGAUUCAAGGGUGCAACAAUGUUUGAAAACCGGUGAACUAAGGAAUUUUUUAUGGUACAUGAGUGUCUGUCUUCACUGUCAUCUUCAUCUUCAAAUCCUGGUUUUGAUUCUUACCUUUACUUCUCUGGGGUUUUGUCAUGAACUAUGAUCGUUACCUUCAUAAGUUGAGCCUCCAGAUCUACUCAGGUUCUAUGUCUGCUAGUCUCUGGUGCUGGCCUUUUGCUUCCUAAAUUGGCUAUGAUUCAGAGGAGGUUGGGCUCAGGCACUGUAAUUGACCCUGGGCUAUUUGCUUCCUGGCUCUCUAGACCACAAUCUCAGUCAAGCUGUUGUCAAAGUGUACGUCCUCCUUUCUCCAAAAUGUUUUACUUGUGCCUUUCAGAAUUGGGUCUGGAAAAUAAUGCCUCCAUUUAGCUAAGAUCUGUGUGAGUGAUGGGGUGUGACGUUUGUUAGGUUAGCCAACGUUGGCUGGUAUUGAGAGUUGCUGCUAAUACUGUAUGUUCACAGAACUACUGACAGCAUUUGCCAAAGGGUGAGCUUAGAUCAAGUAGUAAUUGAGAUUGAAAAGGAAUGUAGUUAAUCAUGUAAUUUGAAUGGUUCUGGCUUCUCCUAAAAGAUACUAUGAAAUGAGGCAUAAUAAUGGAAAAUUCAGAAAGUUGCAUAGAUCAGACUAAACCAUAGUACAGUGCAUUCAAGUUUGAAGUCAUGUUCUUAGAGACCUUCUUGAGUUCCUGGUAUAGGAACAAAAAAAAUCACAUGGUUUUUCUACACCUACAUUUCUGACCUUUACGCUGGGUAAUCAGAACCAUUGACAUCAUAGGGUUACUUGAUGGAAGUUUCAAACGUUCUUUCCUAAUAGCAUUUGGCCUAGUAAAUGAAAACUCAAAUGUAGGAAACCUAGUGGUCAUUUUGAAGAUUGAGCACUAGCUAUUUAUUUUCACUAGAGAAAUGGCAAAAAUGCACUCUCAAUGGAGAAACUUACAUGCAUUUUUCAUUAUUUUUAUUAUAAGACCAACCCAGAUAUGAAAUAGAUUGUUGCUUUUCCGGAUAUGAUCUUGAACAAGAAGAGAGUAGUAGAUGAUUUGAGAAUAACACUAAAGCACUGAAUGAUUGAAUGAAUGAAAAAGUCAUAAAAUUUUCAGUAGCAAGAAGAAUUCUCACCACUCAUUAAACAGAAAAAAGAGAAGCAAGAUAGCUGCUGCCACGUAUUUUGGUAAAGGGUCAAGUUUUCUUGAUACAAAAAUAAAAUACCCCUUUUAUUCUAUUUUUAGCAGUAUCUUUGAAAUAUUAUUAAUCUCCAUGGCAGAGGUUGCUUAAUCUGCAACAUUAUCAGCUAGCAAAUGAUUAUUACUGCUAAUCAACUUUAUUCACAUUAUCCAGAGAACUGCUGGUUCUCCCUUUCCUUAACAAAUGGAGUACAGUAUAGUACACAUAUUGGAGCCUAUUAAACUUUCACACAUCAUUAGGUCCCAUCUCCCUUAGAAUUGCAACUUACAUUUUUUCCCUUUAUUUUUUUUUCCAUGAAGGUGUUUUCUUUCUACUAAAGACAGAUAGUGAUUGAAAGUUUUAUGCAGUUUAAUGUAAUUUUCUUCUGUCAUUUUAUUUAAAAAAUUGUUAAAGCAUAGGCUCAAAGUGGGUAUGUGAAAAUGGGGUGACUGAGUAUGUUAACAAUGUUUGCAAAGUACAAAUAAUCAUUUUUGGCUGUGUGAAUGGGGUCAAACUUACUAUAUAAUAUGUAAUUUAAAAACUCUAACCCCCCCCCAAAUCCUUUGGUUGAACUGACAUGGUUCAUCAUGAUUAUAUCAUAACAGACUUUUUGAUAAGAUUUUUCAAGUUUGAGUUUAUUCUGAAGAUACUUUCUUUUUCAUCCUCUUCCAUUCAUUAAUUAUCUCGAGGUCAUGUAUUUACCUUUUGGUGUGCAGUGUUUUGGUACUUUCCACCAAAGUUCCUGACAAGUAGAUAAAAGUAUUUUCAGGAAAUACCAUACAAAGAAAAACAGGCCUGCUUUCCAGUUGCUAGUAAUUUGCUCUUUCCUCAAUUUCCAAAAGGAAUACAGCCUUUCAGGUGACAGUGAGUAUUCUGCUUUUGGUCAAAUACUGUAAAGACAGACUUGGUAAUCCCAUUCAUGAUGACUUCCCAGCAAUUCUUGACAAUCAGUAUUUCCAUAUGUUAGUGAACACCAGGUAUGUCUCAGGCAACAGAUAAGUCUUUUUCUAUCAAAGCUUGAACCAGGAGUCAAAAUAUGUGAAUGUCAGCAGAACCAGUUCUGUUUCUCAGCAGGUCAGGAAAAGUCUCCAAGUUUGCACAAUAGCUGAAGUAGGAUAAAUGGUGACUGAUUGGGUUAUGUCCCUGAAUAAUCAAAAUUUUAAUAGAGAAUAUUAAAAGUACUUGGAAGCAAAUGAGGAUGAAUAAUUCCAUCAAGUAGCAUUUAUGAAGCCCAGUCCAGUGUACGCAGAUCUUAGAAGUCAUAACUCACACUCUUGAAACAAAGAAAAAGCUGAACAAACGGAAAAUAAAUAGCUGUGUAGGUGCAUCAAAGAAUGGAAACCACAGGGCAAACUGCUGCUGCUCAAAUUGUAAAGAUGAGCAAACACAAAGAAGCACAGUUGACCAGGAGAGAACAGAAGGCAUUAGUAUACCUUGAUAUUCACUUAGAAGGUAAUUAACUAGUUUCUGGAGACUAGCUUGAGAGACUUUUGUAAACCCUACUUUAGGAAAGACCUCCAGCAGCCCCACUAGGUUCUCAAGGAGAUAAACUAGAGUAAAAUUCCCUCUGUGCUUCUGGCAGAGGGAAAGGAAAAGUAAUUAUUUUGAAAUAAGCUGAAGCCUAUACGUAAGAGAAAUUAUUUUACCACAGUCUAAAUUUCUUUUUUUUUAUUUUAUUUUUUUAGCCAGAAUCCAACUUCCCUGAGUAAGGAAAACACCGAAAUUCAACCCUCUCUAGCCUUCCUGUCUCAUCUAAGGGCAUAGAAAAAGUAAAAAGCUGAGAACCAUUUGUGAAAAUCAUAGUCCAGGGAUACAGUCUCAUUAAGAGUCCAGUUUAAUUAUAGGAUAUAGAAAGUCACCCCCUCACCUUGCCACACAACUUCCACCACAUCAGUAGGAUGCCUAUAAGAUAAUAGGGAGUUACAGUUGAAAGAAAUCUGUCAGUCCUUAUUUAAGGAGGAAUCCCAAGAGAAACCAAAAGCUAAGGGAAACAAAAACAAGGACUCCAGAGGAAAAUUUUGCUUCUGAAAUCACACUUGGAGCAAAGAGUAAACAAAGCCUACCUCUAAGCCAAAUAAACAUAAAUCCUCACACCAAAGGAUUAUUUACCUCACUUCUUUUUACCUGUGAUACAUCAUAUCUGGCUUUGAACAGAAAAUUGCAAGGUAU